AUGAACCCCAAAAAUCAAAAAUCGCAAGGUUUAGUUUUUUCGCUAUUUUCAAUUGUUCGAAAAACCUACUUUUUCGAACUCGUCCUAGACGGUUAGUCCGAAUUUCAUGAAAAUUGGCUCAGAUCAUCUUCAGAUGAUGGUGGCAAAAAGUUAUGGAAUUCAAGUUGAUUCGUCCAACCGUUCUCGAAUACCACGCGAAAAAAUUCUACGAAAAGCAUGCAAAAAUGCUUGUGAGGCUAUAACUCCGCAACGGUUUGGCGUAUUGAGACCAAACUUGGUGUGUGUAAUAACAAGCAGGACCUGAGACUUCCUGCAGUGUUUCGACGCAGCGCCACCUAGUGGUCAGGAGAUAUGAAAAAUGCAUAUUUUUGCUUAUAACUUCUGAAUGGUUUGGCCAAAAAUCACAAAACUGGUCUCAUUAGAUUCGGUGGGUCAUGUCAAGUCGAAUGAUAUCCAAUUUUCCCGUGUCGGCCAUUUUAGGUGUCGGCCAUUUUGAAUUAUGUUUCAAAAUGCUGUAUUUUUUGAACGCAUCAUCGUAUCGCUAUGAAAAUAAUUACAAAAAUGUUUGGCUCCAUGCCCUGAAGCUACUCAAAAAGUUUGGUGGCAGCGCCACCUUGUGGUCAAAAGUUAUAAUGAAAUAUCUAAUAUAUGCUAAUAACUUUUGAAAAUAUUAGACUAUUGAAAUGAAAGUGGUCUCACUAUAUUCUUUGGGUCAUGCCGAGAACAUCGAUACCAAUUAUGCCAAAAUUGGCCAUACUUCCUGUCCGCCAUUUUGAUUAAAGUUGAAAACCUACUUUUUCGAACUCCUCCUAGACCGUUAGUCCGAUUUUCACCAAAUUUGGUUCGGAUCAUCUUCAGACCAAGCUGACAAAAAGUUAUGGAAUUCGUGUUGAUAUACGAAACGGUUUUCGUUUAGCGCAUCAACGAAUUUGUUCGUAAGAUGCCAAAAUACAUCUGAGGCGGUAUCUCGGCAAUGCUUUGACAUAUUUGUACCAAACUUUGUAUGUGCCAUUGUCACCUCAGACUGACCAUGCCACAUCAAUUUGGUAACAGCGCCACCUAUAGGUCAAGAGUAAUAAAUCAUUCAUUAACCAUUAAUAAUUACAUUUAUAAAAAUGCUAAUAACUUUUUAUUGCAUUAGCCUAUUGCAAUGAAACUGGUCUCAAUAUAUUCCUUGGCUUAUGCCGACAACAUAGAUACCAAAUAUGCCAGAGUACGCUGAACUUCCUGUCCGCCAUUUUGAUUUAUGUUGAAAACCUACUUUUUCGAACUCCUCAUCAACCGUUGGUCCGAUUUUCACCAAAAUUGAAUCAGAUGAUCUUCAGACUGUGCUGACAAAAUGUUAUGGAUUUUGUAUUGAUAGACAAAACCGUUUUCGCAUACCACAGCGACGAAUUUCAGGCAUGAUGCCAAAAUGACACUUCAGCCUGUAUCUCUGCAAUGCUUUGGUAUACUGACACCAAACUUUGUGUGUGCCAUUGUCACCUCACACAGAACACACCAAAAUGAUUUGAUUACAGCGCCACCUGUUGGUCAAAAGUGAUAAGCCAUUUAAUCAUAAUACUAGUGCUUGUAUUUAUGAUUAUUUUUCAGCCAUUUCAAUUACAAUCAUCCUAAAAUUGCUGUAAUUGCUCAUUGUUGCAUUUGGUGUGAUGCUCCAUGCCAUGCUUAGCUCCUCAAUUUGCCGCUGGAGUGCUUGGCCCCGCAAUUGCUGCUUGCAGCUAUAUUUAGGGGCCAAGCACCGAAGGUGCGUAGGCACCUAUUGUAUCCGUUGGCGUUAUUAUUAUUCUUCUUCUUCUUCUUCUUCUUCUUCCGCCGCAAGUCUAUGGCAGCCCAUAGAACCGAUUACGGGAAAGUUGUAUAAUUUGGCACACUGAUAGAGGACAGUCCCAGCAUUAACUAUAGCAAAUUUGAAGUCUCUAACUCCAACUCUCUAGCGCCACCACUUGUCCAAAAUUUCAAUAUUUGUAUGCUAAUAACUUUUGAACCGUACGCCACAAAAUGAAAAUUCUUUUUUCCUCUGAAUCCUUGGCUCAGGCCAAGUAGAAUGAACCCCAAAAUUCAAAAAUCGCAAGGUUUAGUUUUUUCGCUAUUUUCAAUUGUUUGAAAAACCUACUUUUACGAACUCGUCCUAGACGGUUAGUCCGAUUUUCACGAAAAUUGGCUAAGAUCAUCUUCAGACCAUGUCGG
ensembl:lncRNA